UAGUCCACGCCCUAAACGAUGUGCACUAGAUAGUGGAGGUUUUGACGCCAUCACUGUCGAAGUUAAAAUCUUAAGUGCACCGCCUGGGGAGUACGGUCGCAAGGCUAAAACUCAAAGGAAUUGACGGGGGCUCACACAAGCGGUGGAGCAUGUGGCUUAAUUCGAAGCAACGCGAAGAACCUUAUCCUGGGUUUGACAUGUACGGAUUAACUUCCCGAAAAGGAAGCAACGCCCUCUGAGUGGAACGUACACAGGUGCUGCAUGGCUGUCGUCAGCUCGUGCUGUGAAGUGUUGGGUUAAGUCCCUUAACGAGCGAAACCCCUGUCGUUAGUUGCUAACACGUAAUGGUGAGGACUCUAGCGAGACUGCCGGUGUCAAACCGGAGGAAGGCGGGGAUGACGUCAAGUCCUCAUGGCCUUUAUGCCCAGGGCUGCACACGUGCUACAACGGUAUGGACAGAGCGAAGCGAUACGGCGACGUGGAGCAAAUCGCACAAACCAUG
rnacentral:rRNA from 1 species